UACGGAGGGUGCGAGCGUUAAUCGGAAUUACUGGGCGUAAAGCGCACGCAGGCGGUUUGUUAAGCUAGAUGUGAAAGCCCCGGGCUCAACCUGGGAUGGUCAUUUAGAACUGGCAGACUAGAGUCUUGGAGAGGGGAGUGGAAUUCCAGGUGUAGCGGUGAAAUGCGUAGAUAUCUGGAGGAACAUCAGUGGCGAAGGCGACUCCCUGGCCAAAGACUGACGCUCAUGUGCGAAGGUGUGGUAGCGAACAGG
rnacentral:rRNA from 1 species